GUCCCUGUGGCCUAGUGGUUAAGGCACUUGCUAAUGUAGCGAGAUACCUGGGUUCGAAUCCCAGCAGAGACA
rnacentral:tRNA from 1 species